rnacentral:rRNA from 1 species
UCUAAGUAUAAACCUCUUGUAAGGUGAAACCGCGAAUGGCUCAUUAGAACAGCUGUAAUCCACGAGGUGUGGACGUUUCCUACUUGGAUAACUGUGGUAAUUCUAGAGCUAAUACAUGCAUUAAGGCUCAAGCCUGUAAAGGUUCGAGUGCAUUUAUUAGAACAAAACCAGGCGGCUUCGGCCGUUUUCGGUUGACUCAUAGUAACUGAGCUGAGCGCAUGGGCUUGUCCCGGCGCUGUACCUUUCGAGCAUCUGCCGUAUCAACUUUCGAUGGUAGUGUAUCUGACUACCAUGGUGAUCACGCGUAACGGAGAAUAAGGGUUCGGCUCCGGAGAGUUCGCCUGAGAAAUCGCGAACACAUCUAAGGAAGGCAGCAGGCGCGAAAAUUACCCACUCUCAGCACGAGGAGGUAGUGACGAAAAAUAACGAGACCGUUCUCAAUGAGGCCGGUCAUCGGAAUGGGUACAAUUUAAACCCUUUAACGAGUAUCUAUGAGAGGGCAAGUCUGGUGCCAG